GCGGAGCCAAGUAAAGAGUCUUACAGUGAUGAAUCUUCCGAUGAGCAAAGCAGCGAGUUGUCAAGUGAAGAGUCUAGCGAGCAGCCUAGUAACGAGAGUACUGAAGAGUCCAGCGAAGUGUCAAGUGAUGAAAGCAGCGUGGAGCCAAGUGAAGAGUUUUACAUUGAUGAAUCUUCCGAUGAAUAAAAAGCAUCACGAUGAUAAGCGAAGAAUCUGCUGCAUAACAAGUGGGCUGCAUAUGAAGAAAUUUGCUAAAUGCCGAUUCAAAAUAAGUCAUAGAAAAAUCUGUCACAAACGUCUUCGUAAUUUCAAAUUAUAAUAAAGUAUUCCAGCUAAAAAAUGAAGUUUCUUGUUUUUAGUCUAGCCCUUUUAGGAUUGCUACUGACUAUAGUAGCCAUAGCUAUACCAGAGAGUGAAUUCGACCGAAGAAUGUAUAAUGAGGUGGACAACGACUUUCAAGAUCUAGAUGCUCUAUUUUACCUCUAAAUGUUUUAGCCUUGCAUUAUGCUGCGGAUGAAGCUGGUUGCACUCACAUAAUUUUCCUCUAUGGACCGAAGAUUUUUAAUUAAAACAAACAAUAUGUUGCCCCGA